UACAGAGGUCCCAAGCGUUGUUCGGAUUCAUUGGGCGUAAAGGGCGCGUAGGCGGCUUUUCAAGUGACGGGUGAAAUCCCUCGGCUUAACCGAGGAACUGCCUGUCAGACUGGAAGGCUUGAGACCGGGAGAGGUGAGUGGAAUUCCCAGUGUAGCGGUGAAAUGCGUAGAUAUUGGGAGGAACACCAGUGGCGAAGGCGGCUCACUGGACCGGAACUGACGCUGAGGCGCGAAAGCGUGGGGAGCAAACAGG
rnacentral:rRNA from 1 species